CUUCAGUAAAUGAAGGAGACUAUGUGAACAGGAAGUCUUUCCACAGCAUUAAUGUACAGAUCAUAUGUGAUGCUGCCAACAUUAUCACAAAUGUGGAAGCCAAGUGGCCAGGCUCUGUCCAUGACUCACAAAUAUUCCGUGAAUGUACACUGAGCACAAAAUUUGGACAUGGUGAGUUGAGAAUACUUUAAAAUAUAUAAAGACCAAUUGCUUCAGGGACAUUUGAACUGAAGUGUAUCCUUCUGUCUUAGGAGAGUUCACUGGCUACUUGCUUGGUGAUAGGGGGUAUCCAUGUUUACCCUAUUUGCUUACCCCUUACCCUGACCCUGAACCGGGCCCACAGCAGCGAUAUAAUCUGGCUAAUUGCAGGACAAGAGCCAGAAUUGAAAUGACUAUCGGAAUGCUUAAGGCCCGGUUCCAGUGCCUGCAAGGACUCAGGGUCACCCCAGAAAGGGCAUGUGACAUUAUUGUGGCAUGUGUGAUUCUUCACAACAUUGCCACAAUUAGAGGAGAACACUGUCCUUCUGAACCAAACAUCAGCAGUGAUCCAAACCAUGAACAUCCUGACCCUCCCACGGACAUACAAGAUGGAAGCGCAGUCAGAGACACCAUAUGUCACAAUCAUUUCUUUUGACCCAUCACCUCAACAUGUUGAAAGACGAAUAAACAGAUUUUCUGUUCAACUGGCUUUAUUGGUCGCCUGUAUUUCCUGUACACAAAGUAUUAAAAGAUGUAAACCUCAUAAAGUGUCUCUGUUGCUUCCUCCUCUGUAACAGCUGUCAAUGUUUCUUCAUUAUUUUCCUGUAGUAAAGAAAUAAACAACAUUGCUGUUCUACUGUAAACUCA